rnacentral:tRNA from 1 species
GCCAGGGUACCCAAGUUGGUCAAAGGGGUGAGACUUAAGAUCUCAUACGCAAGUUUCGUGGGUUCGAACCCCACCCCUGGCA